CCUACGGGAGGCAGCAGUAAGGAAUAUUGGUCAAUGGACGAAAGUCUGAACCAGCCAUGCCGCGUGCAGGAUGACUGCCCUAUGGGUUGUAAACUGCUUUUAUAUAGGAAGAAAAACUUUCUCGUGAGAAAGCUUGACGGUACUAUAAGAAUAAGGAUCGGCUAACUCCGUGCCAGCAGCCGCGGUAAUACGGAGGAUCCAAGCGUUAUCCGGAAUCAUUGGGUUUAAAGGGUCCGUAGGUGGACAAAUAAGUCAGAGGUGAAAUCCUGCAGCUCAACUGUAGAACUGCCUUUGAUACUGUUUGUCUUGAGUUAUUAUGAAGUGGUUAGAAUGUGUAGUGUAGCGGUGAAAUGCAUAGAUAUUACACAGAAUACCGAUUGCGAAGGCAGAUCACUAAUAAUCAACUGACACUGAUGGACGAAAGCGUGGGUAGCGAACAGGAUUAGAUACCCUGGUAGUCCACGCCGUAAACGAUGGUCACUAGCUGUUUGGACUUCGGUCUGAGUGGCUAAGCGAAAGUGAUAAGUGACCCACCUGGGGAGUACGUUCGCAAGAAUGAAACUCAAAGGAAUUGACGG
rnacentral:rRNA from 1 species